ensembl:lncRNA
GAUGAAAGCUAAGCAUUUCCUCGCCUCCCUACCAAUAUGCUUUCCUCUCUAUCUUCAAGGUUUCCUUAUGGAUAUAUGUGCUUUGCAAUGAUCUUACAAACUUUUCUUUACAGAACUUAGGCAAGGUCUGCACCCGCACCGAUGACCCAGAGGCCACCAGUCUGUGGACUAAUAGACCACUGAUGCAUACAAGGUGUGAACACAGAGCACAAUGGUGAGAGAUAUCAGUUGGAAAGUACAGUAGGUGCUGCUGUCCUACAUAAAAAAAACAGAACUGGAACUAAGGAGGCAUUUCCAGUGUGCAAGAGGAGGCAAAGGCACUGGGGACUUUCGGCUUAGAUUCAGCAAGAUGCGUCUUAUACUUCACGUAGAACUUUGACUUCAGUAAGACAACCUCCGUGCUUCACACUGGACAUAUAAGGACCUCUCUGCAGGCACUGGAGCUACAGUUGUACAAACUCAGAAUUUCAGUAUGAAGGCCAGAGGUAAAAAUUUAGGAUUAAGAGAAGGUAGCUAUGUGCUCUGUUGCAGAAGAAGUAGGCAUUACUGUAGACAAUAAUCCAAUAGCCCACAUUUCUGCAACAAACUCUGAUCUCAUGUGCACUUCAGAGCAUCUUUCAAGAGUGCAAACAGUUUUUGAAACUAGAUUUCACUGCUCCCUGUGAGGAGGAAAGCUUAUGGCCAUGACCUCACAAAUUAUAAAUAGAUUUCAAUGGAAGCAGAGGGCUAAGCAUAGAGUUGCCAUCCAAGGUGUAAUUUAAACUUUUGCUGAUGCUGACAGAGGCUGCUUCCAUUGGGACUUCUUCGGGUGGCACCAAUUUGUUCAUCCAUAUGGGAACAGCAGGGAAGGAGAGGAAUGCUUCACUGUAACUUAUAGAAGGCAAAAUGGAAAGAUGUUUGAGUGCCAUCAUGGGGGUGAAUUUAUUAUAUAUAUAUACACUUAAAAUUUACCUCUUUGUGAAACUGAUGUCAGUGUCAGCUCUUUCAGAUAUGGAGGAAAUUUACACAAAGAAGAUGCUUCCUUCUAUCACAAGUUCACUCUCCGUUCUGGCAACACUGCUUUCACUUGGUGAAAGUAGAUCAGAAUUCACCAUGUUAAUAAAAAAUAUAUUAGAAUCUGAUCCACUAUCUGCACCGAAGAAGCCAACAGGAAUAGCUUGUGUGACAGCAGAUUCUUAAUUAGGCCUCUCAUUAAUUGCUGUAGUUUUGCUGGGGAGCACAAAAUCACAUCACAAAGUCCUCUAGAUAACAAAGCCUUGCAACUCUGUCUGAAGUAGGAAAGGUGAGGUUACAGGAGGACAUGAAGCCAAAGGAGGUCGUGGAAUGAGUCAUUCUCCGUCUCAGAUCUGUGAUAGCGGGGAGAACAGAAAACGUGUGUGAUAUCCGCCAGCUGGAUUCCAUCUGUCUUUUCUCUGCGGAGAUGGAGUUUCAAAGGCUACAUCCUAUCUGCUGUCACACCCUCUCCCGACAUGAGAAGCUAAGUGUAAAGUUUGGCCAAAGUGAUGGAAAAAACAAUAUCUCUUUUGUACAUCACAACUAUUUCCCUACCUACACAAAAGUGGCAUUCUUCUUGUUCUGGCAUGCAUGAUGUACUGUUGCACUGUAUCACAACUUUCCUAUUAAAUAAAAGGAGCC